rnacentral:rRNA from 1 species
AGAGUUUGAUCCUGGCUCAGGACGAACGCUAGCGGUGUGCUUAAUACAUGCAAGUCGAACGAAGGCUUCGGCCUUAGUGGCGCACGGGUGCGUAACGCGUGGGAAUCUGCCCUUGGGUUCGGAAUAACAGUUAGAAAUGACUGCUAAUACCGGAUGAUGACGAAAGUCCAAAGAUUUAUCGCCCAGGGAUGAGCCCGCGUAGGAUUAGGUAGUUGGUGGGGUAAAGGCCCACCAAGCCGACGAUCUGUAGCUGGUCUGAGAGGACGACCAGCCACACUGGGACUGAGACACGGCCCAGACUCCUACGGGAGGCAGCAGUGGGGAAUUUUGGACAAUGGGCGCAAGCCUGAUCCAGCAAUGCCGCGUGCAGGAUGAAGGCCUUCGGGUUGUAAACUGCUUUUGUACGGAGCGAAAAGGCUCUCUCUAAUACAGGGGGCUCAUGACGGUACCGUAAGAAUAAGCACCGGCUAACUACGUGCCAGCCGCCGCGGU